AGCCAUGAGUAAGCUUCAGAGUGAUGCCUUAAGAGAAGCCAUCACCGUGAUUAAGAAUGAUUCAAGUGAGAAGAAAAGGAAGUUCACCGAAACCAUUGAGCUUCAGAUUGGUUUGAAAAACUAUGAUCCUCAAAAGGACAAGCGUUUCAGUGGUUCAGUUAAGUUGCCACACAUUCCUCGCCCCAAGAUGAAGAUUUGCAUGCUUGGAGAUGCUCAG
rnacentral:misc_RNA from 1 species